CAUCCAUAUCCCGUUGAAAAACCGGUUCUCUUACGAUCGCCGAAGUUAAGCAACGUCGAGCCUAAUCAGUACCUAGAUUGGUGACCGUUUGGGAAUACUGGGUGCUGUAA